rnacentral:pre_miRNA from 1 species
UCCUAUGGAUGAGCAAGAAAAGUAGUAUCCUGAGAUGGAAUCUACUCCUGGUGAAGAUGCUGUGAA